GACAAUGUGGUGUAGUGGUUUGAGCAUUGGUCUGUGACUCUGGAGACCAAGGUUCAAAUCCCUGCUCAGCCA
rnacentral:tRNA from 1 species